AUUGAACGCUGGCGGCAUGCUUUGCACAUGCAAGUCGAACGGCAGCACAGGGAGCUUGCUCCCGGGUGGCGAGUGGCGCACGGGUGAGUAAUACAUCGGAACGUGUCCUGUUGUGGGGGAUAACUGCUCGAAAGGGUGGCUAAUACCGCAUGAGACCUGAGGGUGAAAGCGGGGGAUCGCAAGACCUCGCGCAAUUGGAGCGGCCGAUGCCCGAUUAGCUAGUUGGUGAGGUAAAGGCUCACCAAGGCGACGAUCGGUAGCUGGUCUGAGAGGACGACCAGCCACACUGGGACUGAGACACGGCCCAGACUCCUACGGGAGGCAGCAGUGGGGAAUUUUGGACAAUGGGGGCAACCCUGAUCCAGCCAUGCCGCGUGCAGGAUGAAGGCCUUCGGGUUGUAAACUGCUUUUGUCAGGGACGAAAAGGACCGUGUUAAUACCAUGGUCUGCUGACGGUACCUGAAGAAUAAGCACCGGCUAACUACGUG
rnacentral:rRNA from 1 species